rnacentral:rRNA from 1 species
AUUGAACGCUGGCGGCAGGCUUAACACAUGCAAGUCGAGCGGAGAGAGGUAGCUUGCUACUGAUCUUAGCGGCGGACGGGUGAGUAAUGCUUAGGAAUCUGCCUAUUAGUGGGGGACAACAUUUCGAAAGGAAUGCUAAUACCGCAUACGUCCUACGGGAGAAAGCAGGGGAUCUUCGGACCUUGCGCUAAUAGAUGAGCCUAAGUCGGAUUAGCUAGUUGGUGGGGUAAAGGCCUACCAAGGCGACGAUCUGUAGCGGGUCUGAGAGGAUGAUCCGCCACACUGGGACUGAGACACGGCCCAGACUCCUACGGGAGGCAGCAGUGGGGAAUAUUGGACAAUGGGCGCAAGCCUGAUCCAGCCAUGCCGCGUGUGUGAAGAAGGCCUUAUGGUUGUAAAGCACUUUAAGCGAGGAGGAGGCUACUUUAGUUAAUACCUAGAGAUAGUGGACGUUACUCGCAGAAUAAGCACCGGCUAACUCUGUGCCAGCAGCCGCGGUAAUACAGAGGGUGCAAGCGUUAAUCGGAUUUACUGGGCGUAAAGCGCGCGUAGGCGGCUAAUUAAGUCAAAUGUGAAAUCCCCGAGCUUAACUUGGGAAUUGCAUUCGAUACUGGUUAGCUAGAGUGUGGGAGAGGAUGGUAGAAUUCCAGGUGUAGCGGUGAAAUGCGUAGAGAUCUGGAGGAAUACCGAUGGCGAAGGCAGCCAUCUGGCCUAACACUGACGCUGAGGUGCGAAAGCAUGGGGAGCAAACAGGAUUAGAUACCCUGGUAGUCCAUGCCGUAAACGAUGUCUACUAGCCGUUGGGGCCUUUGAGGCUUUAGUGGCGCAGCUAACGCGAUAAGUAGACCGCCUGGGGAGUACGGUCGCAAGACUAAAACUCAAAUGAAUUGACGGGGGCCCGCACAAGCGGUGGAGCAUGUGGUUUAAUUCGAUGCAACGCGAAGAACCUUACCUGGCCUUGACAUAGUAAGAACUUUCCAGAGAUGGAUUGGUGCCUUCGGGAACUUACAUACAGGUGCUGCGUGGCUGUCGUCAGCUCGUGUCGUGAGAUGUUGGGUUAAGUCCCGCAACGAGCGCAACCCUUUUCCUUAUUUGCCAGCGAGUAAUGUCGGGAACUUUAAGGAUACUGCCAGUGACAAACUGGAGGAAGGCGGGGACGACGUCAAGUCAUCAUGGCCCUUACGGCCAGGGCUACACACGUGCUACAAUGGUCGGUACAAAGGGUUGCUACCUAGCGAUAGGAUGCUAAUCUCAAAAAGCCGAUCGUAGUCCGGAUUGGAGUCUGCAACUCGACUCCAUGAAGUCGGAAUCGCUAGUAAUCGCGGAUCAGAAUGCCGCGGUGAAUACGUUCCCGGGCCU